rnacentral:rRNA from 1 species
GAUGAACGCUAGCGGCAGGCCUAAUACAUGCAAGUCGAGGGGCAGCACGGGUAGCAAUACUUGGUGGCGACCGGCGCACGGGUGCGUAACACGUAUACAAUCUGCCUUUAACAGGGGGAUAGCCCGGAGAAAUCCGGAUUAAUACCCCAUAAUAUAUUGAGUGGCAUCACUUGAUAUUGAAAGCUCCGGCGGUUAAAGAUGAGUAUGCGCCUGAUUAGUUAGUUGGUGAGGUAACGGCUCACCAAGACGACGAUCAGUAGGGGAUCUGAGAGGACUACCCCCCACACGGAUACUGAGACACGGAUCCGACUCCUACGGGAGGCAGCAGUAAGGAAUAUUGGACAAUGCCCGCAAGGGUGAUCCAGCCAUGCCGCGUGCAGGAAGACGGCCCUAUGGGUUGUAAACUGCUUUUACACCGGAGAAAACCCCCUACGUGUAGGGGGCUGAUAGUAUGGUGAGAAUAAGCAUCGGCUAACUUCGUGCCAGCAGCCGCGGU